CACAUACUCCCUUCGUCCCGAAAUAGUUGUCAUCAAAAUGGAUAAAAGGAGAUGUAUCUAGAUGUAUUUUUAGUUCUAAAUACAUCUUUUUUUAUUCAUUUGGAUGACAAGUAUUUUCGGACGGAGGGAGUACUUA
rfam:Triticum aestivum genome assembly, contig: Triticum_aestivum_CS42_TGACv1_scaffold_643693_T_5DL-0.063156_2BL-0.043134